UACGUAGGGUGCAAGCGUUAAUCGGAAUUACUGGGCGUAAAGCGUGCGCAGGCGGUUUUGUAAGUCAGAUGUGAAAUCCCCGGGCUUAACCUGGGAACUGCGUUUGAAACUACAAGGCUAGAGUGUAGCAGAGGGGGGUGGAAUUCCACGUGUAGCAGUGAAAUGCGUAGAGAUGUGGAGGAACACCGAUGGCGAAGGCAGCCCCCUGGGUUAACACUGACGCUCAGGCACGAAAGCGUGGGGAGCAAACAGGAUUAGAAACCCCUGUAGUCC
rnacentral:rRNA from 1 species